GCGAGGGUUGCCGAGUUGGUCAAAGGCGCUGGGUUUAGGGCCCAGUCUUGUAGAAGUUCGCGGGUUCGAAUCCCUCCCCUCGCA
rnacentral:tRNA from 1 species